CCUACGGGAUGCAGCAGUGGGGAAUAUUGGACAAUGGGGGGAACCCUGAUCCAGCGACGCCGCGUGAGUGAAGAAGUAUUUCGGUAUGUAAAGCUCUAUCAGCAGGGAAGAAAGAAAUGACGGUACCUGACUAAGAAGCCCUGGCUAACUACGUGCCAGCAGCCGCGGUAAUACGUAGGGGGCAAGCGUUAUCCGGAUUUACUGGGUGUAAAGGGAGCGUAGACGGCGAUGCAAGUCUGAAGUGAAAGGCGGGGGCCCAACCCCCGGACUGCUUUGGAAACUGUAUGGCUGGAGUGCAGGAGAGGUAAGUGGAAUUCCUAGUGUAGCGGUGAAAUGCGUAGAGAUUAGGAGGAACACCAGUGGCGAAGGCGGCUUACUGGACUGUAACUGACGUUGAGGCUCGAAAGCGUGGGGAGCAAACAGGAUUAGAUACCCCAGUAGUC
rnacentral:rRNA from 1 species